AAGGACUCUCGGCAACGGAUAUCUCGGCUCUUGCAUCGAUGAAGAACGUAGCGAAAUGCGAUACUUGGUGUGAAUUGCAGAAUCCCGUGAACCAUCGAGUCUUUGAACGCAAGUUGCGCCCGAAGCCAUUAGGCUGAGGGCACGCCUGCCUGGGUGUCGCCCAU
rnacentral:rRNA from 1 species